GUGGGGAAUAUUGGACAAUGGGCGGAAGCCUGAUCCAGCAACGCCGCGUGAGGGAUGACGGCCUUCGGGUUGUAAACCUCUUUCAGCACAGACGAAGCGCAAGUGACGGUAUGUGCAGAAGAAGGACCGGCCAACUACGUGCCAGCAGCCGCGGUAAUACGUAGGGUCCGAGCGUUGUCCGGAAUUAUUGGGCGUAAAGGGCUCGUAGGCGGUCUGUCGCGUCGGGAGUGAAAACCAGGUGCUUAACACCUGGCCUGCUUUCGAUACGGGCAGACUAGAGGUACUCAGGGGAGAAUGGAAUUCCUGGUGUAGCGGUGAAAUGCGCAGAUAUCAGGAGGAACACCGGUGGCGAAGGCGGUUCUCUGGGAGUAUCCUGACGCUGAGGAGCGAAAGUGUGGGGAGCGAA
rnacentral:rRNA from 1 species